rnacentral:siRNA from 1 species
AAUCGAAGAACAAAGAUCUCGGAU